GGGCGAAUGGUCUAGGGGUAUGAUACUCCCUUCGCACAGUCUCAGUCAAGACUCAGACAACGUGGUUUGGGAGGGGUCCGGGGUUCAAUUCCCCGUUCGUCCA